rnacentral:rRNA from 1 species
UACGUAGGGUGCAAGCGUUGUCCGGAAUUACUGGGCGUAAAGCGUGCGCAGGCGGUUAUGUAAGACAGUUGUGAAAUCCCCGGGCUCAACCUGGGAAUUGCAUCUGUGACUGCAUAGCUAGAGUACGGUAGAGGGGGAUGGAAUUCCGCGUGUAGCAGUGAAAUGCGUAGAUAUGCGGAGGAACACCGAUGGCGAAGGCAAUCCCCUGGACCUGUACUGACGCUCAUGCACGAAAGCGUGGGGAGCAAACAGG